AACGAACGCUGGCGGCAGGCCUAACACAUGCAAGUCGAACGGGAUCUUCGGAUCUAGUGGUGGACGGGUGAGUAGCGCGUGGGAACGUGCCCUUUGGUUCGGAAUAGCCCUGGGAAACUGGGAGUAAUACCGGAUACGGUCGAGAGACGAAAGAUUUAUCGCCGAAGGAUCGGCCCGCGUUGGAUUAGGUAGUUGGUGGGGUAAUGGCCUACCAAGCCGACGAUCCAUAGCUGGUUUGAGAGGAUGAUCAGCCACACUGGGACUGAGACACGGCCCAGACUCCUACGGGAGGCAGCAGUGGGGAAUCUUAGACAAUGGGGGAAACCCUGAUCUAGCUAUGCCGCGUGAGCGAUGAAGGCCUUAGGGUUGUAAAGCUCUUUCGUGGGGGAAGAUAAUGACUGUACCCCAAGAAGAAGCCCCGGCUAACUCCGUGCCAGCCGCCGCUGUAAUAC
rnacentral:rRNA from 1 species